AGAGUUUGAUCAUGGCUCAGGAUGAACGCUGGCGGCGUGCCUAACACAUGCAAGUCGAACGGACUUUUCAUGAAGCCUAGCGAUUGAAAAGUUAGUGGCGGACGGGUGAGUAACGCGUGGGUAACCUGCCUUGUACUGGGGGACAACAGUUGGAAACGACUGCUAAUACCGCAUAAGACCACAGCACUGCAUGGUGCAGGGGUAAAAACUCCGGUGGUAUGAGAUGGACCCGCGUCUGAUUAGGUAGUUGGUGGGGUAACGGCCUACCAAGCCGACGAUCAGUAGCCGACCUGAGAGGGUGACCGGCCACAUUGGGACUGAGACACGGCCCAAACUCCUACGGGAGGCAGCA
rnacentral:rRNA from 1 species